rnacentral:rRNA from 1 species
AACUGUAGCUAAUACCGUAUAUUCCAGUAAUGGGAAAGAUUUAUCGCUAUAAGAUUGGCCCGCGCAAGAUUAGCUUGUUGGUGAGGUAAAAGCUCACCAAGGCUUCGAUCUUUAGCUGGUUUGAGAGGACGAUCAGCCACACUGGGACUGAGACACGGCCCAGACUCCUACGGGAGGCAGCAGUAGGGAAUAUUGGACAAUGGGGGCAACCCUGAUCCAGCAAUGCAGCGUGAGUGACGAAGGCCUUAGGGUUGUAAAACUCUUUCAUCGGUGAGGAUAAUGACAGUAGCCGAAGAAGAAGGACCGGCUA